CCUACGUGUGGCUGCAGUGAGGAAUAUUGCUCAAUGGCCGCAAGGCUGAACCAGCCAAGUCGCGUGAGGGAUGACGGCCCUAUGGAUUGUAAACCUCUUUUAUCAGGGAGCAAAGGGCGCCACGUGUGGCGUUUUGCGAGUACCUUAAGAAAAAGCAUCGGCUAACUCCGUGCCAGCAGCCGCGGUAAUACGGAGGAUCCGAGCGUUAUCCGGAUUUGUUGGGUUUAAAGGGAGCGUAGAUGGGUUGUUAAGUCAGUUGUGAAAGUUUGCGGCUCAACCGUAAAAUUGCAAUUGAUACUGGCAGUCUAGAGUAGAGUUGAGGUAGGCGGAAUUCGUGGUGUAGCGGGGAAAUGCUUAGAUAUCACGAAGAACCCCGAGUGCGAAGGCAGCUUACUAAACUGUGACUGACAUUGAGGCUCGAAAGUGUGGGUAUCAAACAGGAUUAGAUACCCCAGUAGUC
rnacentral:rRNA from 1 species